CCCUGACCCUGCUCCCGUCACAUUAGGACACAGAAGCGCCAGGCGGGUCCUUAGGCAUCUACAGGAACCAUGAAGCUGAGAAAAGGGCGUGUUUCUGUUUGCCGUGGAAGGAAGAGCCCGGCCUGGCUGGGACGGCAGGGAGACGUGCCUAACUCUGAAAGCCCAGUCCCUUUUCAUGUGUCCUGUCUUUCACCAAGGAUUUAGUGAGCACCUACUGCGUGCCAGGCCCUGCCCGAGACCCUGAAGGUACAGAAUGAACCAGACAAAUACCUGUGUGCCCGUGGAGCUUUCCCACUUAGGGAUGACUGGUGGGGUCACUUCCAGGAGCUCUGGAGGAGAGCUGAGUGGGGGCCAGCACCGUAGGACAGGUUGGCCCAGAGGAACUGCUGCGAUCACAGACAUCUCUAUACAAGCGUCAUCUGUGCAUUUAGCCACUAAAUCACCUGUUUGGCCUGUGGGGGGAGACCCAGGCAGCUAUCCUGCUUGGAGAAGGCCUGGGGCAGGUUAGGCUGAGAGCAAGGAGGGCUCAGGGUAGGGACAUGGAGUGUGAGUGGACAGAGGGCAGGGGGGUAGGAACAUCAGAAGGGAAAGUGGGCUAGAGUCAUCCCUGGGGCUGCUGGAGGAAGGGAGGCCUGCAAGGCCGGAGAGCCCCUACCCUCUGCGUCCAGAAUGGGGGUGCUGGGUAGGUGGUACUGAGGGUGUCCAGUCAGUGUUCCUGAUCCAACACUGAGCCUGUGUUAACUCAGUGGUCCUGCCCACGGCGGCUGCGUGGCCUUGGAUCCAGGGAGUCCGCAGACUGUAGCUGUGAGGGGCUUGUUGUUAAAGAACCUGCCACUUGGGGUCGCUGUUUCUCUUCUUUUCUGCAGCCGGUGCCUUUGGACUCCUAAGGGAUUAGUUUCCCCCAGGAAGUGGCUCUGCUGGCCGGGUGUGGUCUUCAUUAAACUGAUUCACACUUGUGAGAGGAAAACAACCCCGAAAUAGAGGCCACCUGAUUUAAAUUGUGUCUGGGAGUCAAAGAGCCUUGCUCUGUAGGUCUCCAGGUGACCUCGGCCUGGGGGCAGAUACUGAUGUGCUGACUUGGGGUUUUUAACCAGGACAGUCAACAGCACGGCACAGUUGCUAAAUCACCUGGGCUCUGCUAAGUGGGCACCAUGAGUGUUUGCUUAAGAUGGGGCAAGUCGCCUGUACCUUCACAGAGAGCACCAUUCAAUCUCGAGGCCCACCGUGUCCCCAGAUCCUGAGAGAGAACCUGAAACACGGUGCUGGUAGUUUACAAAUUCAGUCUGCCUCUGCUCUUACAAUCAGAGAAGAGGCCUCCUCUCACUGAUGAUGAUGAUGAUGAUGAUGAAGAAGAAGAAGAAAUAAAAAGAGCUUUCUCCCUGCACUGGUUCCUGGAGCCCUGGAACUGGCCUAAGGUGUCUUUGCAUGAAGGCCAGGGUGACUUCUGAAGGUGACCUGGGCAAGGUCGUGUAGGCUGUGUAGGCUGCUGGUAUCUGCCUGGGUCCCGGAGGGGCAGGGGCAGACCAGUGCCAGGGCAGACCCUCGUCUCACCAGGCACAGGAAAAGCAAUUUGCAGUUGGAAUCAUGCUGGCCAGCUAGGUAGACACCCCUGCCACCUCCCCAGUGGUCAGUUCCCAGCACGCGGUCCAUCCAGGGCUGCUCCAGCCGUGGCCUCCCACGGGUACUGGUUCCCAGCAGCCUCCUCUGUUGCCCACUCAGCUGCUCUUUCCACUCACUCAUGGGGAAGGAGGUGCCUGGGAAGUGGGCUGUGCUUCUUGACUCCUCCCGGUGGGAGCUUGAGGGCCCUGGAGAUUGAGAACAGGGAGGCCUUGCUCAGGGCGGCGCCUUAGCCUCCAGGCCUCCGUGUCCCCGUCAGGGUAGAAAGCAGGACCCGAGUACCGGCCAUCUCGGGUGGAGAGAUGAGUGGGCCUCGCCCUUCCGGGCCCUCUUUGCCAUGGCUUUUUCGGUGUGCACAGUGAAUAUGGUGGCCCUUAUCUGAGCUUACUCCCCGGUGGACUUCUGUCUUCUCUCCCCUCCUCUUCACAUUUGGUUUUAACAUGGUUUACACCUGUCUUUCCAUGGAACAGUGGGCUCCUUGAGGAUCGGUAUUGCACCCACUGAUCUCUCUGUGUCCCAGGAGGCUG
rnacentral:lncRNA from 1 species